CGCUGAUAAGAUUUCGUCUUGUGUACUUUCUGCGUUUAUUCAGUAUAAAAAUGACUAAAGUUGAGAGAAUAGUGUAAGCCUUAAUAUCAGGACUAUGUUACGUUGGAUUUUCAGCGGGUAGCCAAUGUUGUCAAAACGGUUGGGUAAUAUUUGGAGACUCCUGUUAUUUGUUCGCAGAUGAAACCAACCUAGACUGGACUGAAGCUACACAUUUUUGUGCAUCACAUGGCAACUUACACAUUGUGACACUCGAAUCAAAGUCAGAGGAAUUAUUCCUGAGAGAUCAAUGCCAACGUUUGUUUAAACAAGGAGCCUCUAGAGACAACUGAUUCUGGCUGGGAGCAACGGAUGACGAAGUUGAAGGCAUCUGGACCUGGUACACGAAUCACAAACUUCUAUCUGACAGAUACACAAAUUGGUACGGUAGCGAACCGGCAACAGGAAGUUCAAUUAAUCAGGACUGUGCUGUUCUUUGGGGGCCUUGAGGAUACACGUGGGAAGACCAUGUCUGUGAACUGAAGUCACAUGUUAUCUGUGAGAAAAAUUCCACCGUGAGAAUUGAGAAUGAGAUUGUUGGCUGAACAGAUUCAAUUUUUUCUGUGUUUACUUAUUCUGGAGUAUAAUAAACAAGAUUUUUUUUCA